UACGGAGGGGGCUAGCGUUGUUCGGAAUUACUGGGCGUAAAGCGCACGUAGGCGGACCGGAAAGUCAGAGGUGAAAUCCCAGGGCUCAACCUUGGAACUGCCUUUGAAACUCCUGGUCUUGAGGUCGAGAGAGGUGAGUGGAAUUCCGAGUGUAGAGGUGAAAUUCGUAGAUAUUCGGAGGAACACCAGUGGCGAAGGCGGCUCACUGGCUCGAUACUGACGUUGAGAGACGAAAGCUAGGGGAGCGAAUGGG
rnacentral:rRNA from 1 species